UGGAGAUCCAGGAAAGACCUGAUGUUGCAGUUCAAGUCUCAGGGCCAAUUGCUGGAGAAUUCCCUCUUGCUCUGGGAAGGCCAGUCUUUGGUCUUUUCAGACUUUCAUCUGAUUGGAUGAGGCCCACGUACAAAAUGGAGAUAAAUCUGCUUUACUCAAAGGCCACUGAUUUAAAUGUCUGUUAACCAAGACAGCUGCUAAGUGACUCAUAGUCACCAGCAAAGGACUAAGAUGUUUUCACUCCUUAGAUCUUCCCUUGUGUCUGUUUAAGAAGAGGAAUCCUCACUUAUUU